rnacentral:lncRNA from 1 species
GCCGCCUCUUCCUCCAUCCCUGUCCCCUACCCACCGCAGCAUUUGAAAACCUUUCCUUUCGCCGGAGAUGAAAGGUGUGUGUUGUAGCAGGCUAGGCGGCCAACUUCCCUGGCUUCGGGGCUAAUCGUUUGCAUCCAGAGUUCCUCACUAGCUCCUUAGAGCACAGCUUUUUUCAGCCUGCUGUUUUUCAAGAGGUUUUGG